UACAGAGGGUGCAAGCGUUGUUCGGAAUUAUUGGGCGUAAAGGGAGUGUAGGCGGCUAGGAAAGUCUUCUGUGAAAUCUACGGGCUCAGCCUGUAACGUGCAGAGGAAACUGUCUGGCUAGAGUGUCGGAGAGGAUAGGGGAAUACCCGGUGUAGAGGUGAAAUUCGUAGAUAUCGAGAGGAACACCGGUGGCGAAAGCGGCCUUCUGGACGAGGACUGACGCUGAGAUGCGAAAGCGUGGGGAGCAAACAGG
rnacentral:rRNA from 1 species